rnacentral:tmRNA from 1 species
GGGGAUGUAUUGCUUUGACGUGAUACGUACUUUAACAUUUGCAGACCAUCUUUGACUAAGAAAGAUGUAAAACAGAGUCAAAAAAUAAUUGCAGAUAAAAUUGCAACUGCUAAGAGUAUGUUAACAAAGGUUAAAUCCGAUGUUGCCAGUUACUUCUCAGCACCUUCUUACGCAGCUUUAGUUGCUUAAUUAGGCAUUCUAUUAAAUAAUCUCAUUGGCGUUUUUAAUUAGAAUGACUCAACCCAGUCAAUGUGACGACAAAAACUCGUUUGUUGGUUUUUGCUUAAGUAAAAGUUGACAAAGAUUGUAAAAGCAGGGUUUGUUUAUUCUCCUCUUUUACAUUAACAAAAAUAAACUAUGUCUGUAGAUAAUGCUAACUUACUGUUGCGGACACGAGAUCAUUACUCGUCAUCUCCACAA